UACGGGGGGGGCAAGCGUUGUUCGGAAUUACUGGGCGUAAAGGGCUCGUAGGCGGCCAACUAAGUCAGACGUGAAAUCCCUCGGCUUAACCGGGGAACUGCGUCUGAUACUGGAUGGCUUGAGGUUGGGAGAGGGAUGCGGAAUUCCAGGUGUAGCGGUGAAAUGCGUAGAUAUCUGGAGGAACACCGGUGGCGAAGGCGGCGACCUGGGCCAAUACUGACGCUGAGGUGCGAAAGCGUGGGGAGCAAACAGG
rnacentral:rRNA from 1 species